GAUGAACGCUGGCGGCGUGCCUAAUACAUGCAAGUCGAGCGAACAGACGAGGAGCUUGCUCCUCUGACGUUAGCGGCGGACGGGUGAGUAACACGUGGAUAACCUACCUAUAAGACUGGGAUAACUUCGGGAAACCGGAGCUAAUACCGGAUAAUAUAUUGAACCGCAUGGUUCAAUAGUGAAAGACGGUUUUGCUGUCACUUAUAGAUGGAUCCGCGCCGCAUUUGCUAGUUGGUAAGGUAACGGCUUACCAAGGCAACGAUGCGUAGCCGACCUGAGAGGGUGAUCGGCCACACUGGAACUGGGACACGGUCCAUACUCCUACGGGAGGCAGCAGUAGGGAAUCUUCCGCAAUGGGCGAAAGCCUGACGGAGCAACGCCGCGUGAGUGAUGAAGGUCUUCGGAUCGUAAAACUCUGUUAUUAGGGAAGAACAAAUGUGUAAGUAACUAUGCACGUCUUGACGGUACCUUAUCAGAAAGCCACGGCUAACUACGUG
rnacentral:rRNA from 1 species